rnacentral:lncRNA from 1 species
GCCUGAAAGAUAUUCACAAGAGAACACCUUGGAUAACAGUGGCAUGUAUGAGAAUGGAUGGGAGAAAUAGACUAUCAAUAUAUAAAAGGACUUAAGUUUCUGAAAGAAGUUUUCAAAAAUCACAAUAAUCUUUAGGUAAUACUAAGAAAAUCAUGAACACCAAAGAUUUUGUGGUUCUUCCACGGGGAAAACCUGGAAAUUCUGUAAAGCUAAAAUAUAAAAAUGCUCAAGAACUGAGAAUGGAGAAAGUACAACUAGAGCUGGAGAACCGAGAGCUGGAAAAGAAACUACAAGAGUUCCAAUCAACAAAGAACAAAGAAAAGGGAGAACGAAGGUCAAGUGGAUAUCAUUGGAAAUCUGGACAAGUGGGCAAAUUGGGUAAUCAAUCAUACACAAUGUCACAAAAUAAAGGAAAUGUUAUUAAGUUUUCUGCUGGAAAAGUGAAAUUAAAAUUACUGAAGGAGCAACUUCAAGGACCGGUGAAACAACCACUAAAUUAUAAAAUGGCAAAUUCCUCUGAAAGUGACAAACCCAAGAUAAAAGGGAAGGUUUGUGGGCAGUGUGAGAACAAAGCUGCUCUGCUAGUAUGCCUUGAAUGUGGAGAAGAUUAUUGCUCAGGAUGCUUUGCUAAAAUCCACCAGAAGGGGGCACUAAAACUCCAUAGAACAACUCUUUUGCAGACAAAAUCACAAUUAUUAUCCAAUGUAUUGGAUGCUGCCCAUCGGUUUAUAAAGGAAGUUAAUCCAGAUGAACCCAAAGGAGAGAAUUGUUCUACAAAAGAGACUGGUAAAAGCCAGCAGAAAAUUGAGUCUCCUAUUCUGCAGGGGAGCAGCUCUCAGGUAGAAGAUCUAACAACAAAAAAAGAAGGAUGUGCAAAUCCAAGAGACAAGCCCUUGUGUGAAGUGCCUUUCAAUGAAGAAGCUUCUGCCCAGUCCUUUCAGAAAGUUUUAAGUCAGUGGAGAACUGGACAUCAGGAUGACAAUGAGACACAGAAUUUAUGUGCAGCAAAAUCAGAUUCAUUGGAAGAAUGUGAAGUACAAACUAAUCUGAAAAUUUGGACAGAACCACUUACUAUUGAAUUUAAAGAAGAUAGUCUAUCCUACAUGGAAAAAUUAUGGCUUAAAAAACAUAGAAGAACUCCACUGGAGCAACUUCAAAACAUGCUACCGGACACCUUCAUACCUCAGUGUAAAACCACUAGUGAGGCACAAUGUUCUCAGAACGAAAAUGAUGAAGAUAGUGAUGUUGAGGAUAUCAAGAUACAACCCCCAGCUCUUUUUCUGCCAAUAGAAGAAUUAAACUUAGAGAGACCUGAACCAUCUCUAAAAAUAGUUGAACUGGAUGAUAAGACGUAUGAAGUAGAAUUUGAAGAAUCAGGAAAUGCCGUGCCUUAUAAAGUUGAGUUAGCAGAUGCAGACAGUCAACAAAGUCACACAUUUCGUGAUUAUCAGAAUGCUUUUCUGUAUGCAAAUGAUAUCCAUCAACAUCAUGCAUUUACCAAGAGAAAAUCUGACCUCUUCCACCUUCAUCUGAGUAACAACUCUUUUCUUUGUAAAGAUAACUCAGAAGCAGAAACGUCACAUGCAGGUUUUGAUACCUUUGUGGAUCCUGAUGCAUACUCUCCUGCUAUUGAAAAAUUAGAGGCAAACAAUUUUUUUGAGAGAAAUUUGAAAGAGGAAAGCAUAGAUAUAGAAAGUAAUAAAAAGCAUGAAGAUUCCCAUAUACCUCUUGAGAACAAGGAUUCUUUGCCAAGUAAAGAUUUAGAAAAACCCUGCAUUAAGGAGAAAUUAUCUCAAGAGGACAAGAAAUCCUUGGAAUUCAGCAACCUGCAUGAGAGGCCAAACUUUGAAGAUUCUAAAACUACAGAGUCACCACUGUUGUUACAAGAAAUAGCCCUCAGGAGUAAGCCCAUAAAUGAACAAUAUCAAGGACUUGAAAGAUUCUUUGUUUUUGAUAAAAAUGAAAGACUCAACUUACUUCCUUCUCAUAGUUUAGAAUGCAGCUCCUCCAAUACUAGGAUUACAAUUGCAGGAGACAGAGAAUGGAUCCCAGACCAUAGUGUAAGUGCAUAUGCUGAUAACACAGUUGCCUUAGGUGUUCUGAAGUUUGCCCAGAAACCAUCAGCAAGAACACAGCAAAAGACUGGCCAGAUAUCACAGAGACCUUCAACAGCAAAUUUACCACUUUCCAACUUUGUGAAAAUAAGUUCCAGCUGGUUUUCUUCUUCUCAUCCCCGGUCAAGAAGUGCAGUCGCUCAAUCACUCUCUAAAGCUGCUUCUGAAAUUUCAGAAAUUGAAUAUGUUGAUGAUACUGACCAUGAUGAGCCUUUCUUAGAUGACGCUGAUGAUCAGCAGACCUUAGACAGUUUGGAAAAAGAAUUAAAUGAGCUGAGAAAUCUUGCAGAUCCUUCAGAAAAACUUUACAGCCUAACCUCAGAAGAGUUACCAGCCUUCAACAACCAUUUGCUGAAUAUAAGUCAGACUACCCUAGAUUUCCUUAAGACCUCAUGUGCGAGGGGUCUCUGUGGAUUUCAGGAACAGAGCUCUUCUGAAAAGGAUACUGGAAUCCAGUCUUUGCUGACAGUUUCUGAAAGCAGUACGGAUGAGGAGGAGGAAGAUUUUUUUGACAAGCAACAUGUCAUUACACUUCCAUGGUCAAAGAGUACCUAG